rnacentral:rRNA from 1 species
GACGAACGCUGGCGGCGUGCUUAACACAUGCAAGUCGAACGGAAAGGCCCUGCUUUUGUGGGGUGCUCGAGUGGCGAACGGGCGAGUAACACGUGAGUAACCUGCCCUUGACUUUGGGAUAACUUCAGGAAACUGGGGCUAAUACCGGAUAGGAGCUCCUGCUGCAUGGUGGGGGUUGGAAAGUUUCGGCGGUUGGGGCUGGACUCGCGGCUUAUCAGCUUGUUGGUGGGGUAGUGGCUUACCAAGGCUUUGACGGGUAGCCGGCCUGAGAGGGUGACCGGCCACAUUGGGACUGAGAUACGGCCCAGACUCCUACGGGAGGCAGCAGUGGGGAAUAUUGCACAAUGGGCGGAAGCCUGAUGCAGCAACGCCGCGUGCGGGAUGACGGCCUUCGGGUUGUAAACCGCUUUCGCCUGUGACGAAGCGUGAGUGACGGUAAUGGGUAAAGAAGCACCGGCUAACUACGUG